AGAGAAACAGGCGGCAGAACUCAGCUGGAGAAGAUUAGCAUUCCAUAAAGGAGAAGCCAACGUGACUCUGGAUCCAGCCACGGCGCAUCCCCAGCUCGUCCUGUCGGAAGGAGGGAAAUGUGCGAGACUGGGAAACACACGGCAGCCACUGCCUGACAUCCGGGAGAGAUUUGACUAUUGGUGCUGUGUGCUGGGCCGUGAGGGCUUCACCUCGGGGAGACAUUACUGGGAGGUGGGGGUGGGGAAUGGGCCAUGCUGGGCUGUGGGGGUAGCCAGAGAGUCUGUGAGCAGGAAGGGAGGGAUCAGCCUGAGCCCCGAGGGCGGGAUCUGGGCUGUAGGGCGGCGGUGGGGGGAUCAGUUCCAGGCUCUCACUGACCCUGUGACCCCCCUACCUCUGAGCCCCCCCAGCAGGAUCCGGGUUUGUCUGGACUGUGACCGGGGGCAGGUGACAUUUAUCGAUGCUGGAACCGAGGCCCCGAUCUUCACUUUCCCUCCGGGCUCCCUCCCUGGGGAGAGAAUCCGACCCUGGAUCUGGGUGGAGGACACAGACACCCAGCUCCGACUGUUUCCCUGACAACAGCCCCUCUGGCCUCACACACCCCAGACUCUGUGACCCUGGAGGACUCCCCGGUACCCUGCCCCUGGCUCCUCCUCUCUAUGGUUCCUGAAACCUUCUCCCCCUUCUUGCAGCAGUUGUAGGAGCAGAGUUGGGGGUUGAGCAGGGCUAAGAGCAGGCAGAGAUGGGAGCUGGGCAGAGUCCCACAUGCUGAGACCCCCGUCUCCAGGCCAAGGUGAUCUCUCUCUGGAGACACGCACAGGCCCGAGACUUUUCACACAAGUCCCACCCUGCAGUGCUCAGUCACUUCAGCACACAAAGCACAAGAGAGUUGCACAAAACGACCAAUCCAACAGCUCUGCCUCUCACUCUCCCGCCCCCGCCCCCUGCCUUGGGGGUUCUGGGGCCAGCUGGGCUCAGGAAAGCAGAUGGCCCUGGCGCCUGAAGCUGCUGCCUGCUGGGAACUUUGCUUUCCCCUGCAGAGCUGGAGACAAGGAGCAAGCUCCAGGCAGGGGCUGGGGUAUUGCAACGCUGAACGGUGCUGCCUGGAAUUGUAGCUGCCCAGAAAAUCCCUGGCAUGACGCUGUGAGCCCCCAGCCUGAGUGACGGGGGAUGGGAGUGUCUGGGACAAGCCAGCAGGCCCGGCAGGGAGCUGUCUAAGGUAGCCAGUGGGAGACGCUCACCAGAGGGGAAUUACAUGAGGAAUCCAGGCCCCUCUCAUCUCAGUUUGGGAUAAUGCUGGUUACCGAUACCGUGUAUUUUGCAAACUGUUUAAAUUGAUACUAGGAACUUCCCAGAAUUCAGGUGUGACCACAGAUGUACGGAGCCUUCCUUUGUCAACUGCGCACCCGGAACUUACCUGAAAUUUUUUCUUUAAUAAAUGUUCUUUGAGUGAUGUCACCGGGGGAGCUCCAGUGUGGUGUCGCGUCAUCCCAGCGCCACAGAUGGGAGUUUUCAUUUGCAGUAGUCAGCUGGACUGAUCAUGUACAGUGGGCGCCUCGUGCCAUUUGCGUGCACAAUC